CUCCUUUGGAGAAUAAGUUUGGGCAUGUUUCCGCCAAAGGCAGGAGGGAGACCCAACCCCAAACGACCCCUCACUUGGCGAGAAAUGGGACAGCCAUCCGUCUGCCUGGACGCUGCUCAGAGCUGGUGUCCAGGAGGACCUUGCCUUCCAGGUCACACUCUUCUCGUGCGUCCCUCAUUUACUGGGUCAGAGGACUGCCCGACCUGCACACCUGCCUCCGGAGGCUGAGGGAUGUGACGCCGACCAGGUCCCAUCUGUGUCCAUCCUCGCGUGUAACUCCCCAAGGACAUCAGUCCCACCCAUCCCCGUCCUGCUGUCGUGUACGGCAUCGCUCUCCGUUGACAAGGUGGAGAUGUGGUCAGAGGGACGCUUGCGUCCUGGAACAGGCAUCUGGGGCAGGGUCCGCGGCUGCCUGGCCCGGAAGUGUGGGCAGGGUGCCCGGGACUGGAGGUGGGGAGACCCGCGGUCAGGGUCCAGCCGCCGCACCUGGAGCCCCUCCGUGGGCAUCACCGGGCGGCCCGGGGCUCCGCGUCUGCGUGUCGGGACAGCGCCGAGCUUUGGUCUUUAUUUGGCCGUCCGCCCAGGGUCCUCGCAGAGCACCUUACCCUCACGGCUCACCCUAACUUCCUGGUGUGGGGCGCGUGUGCCUUGAUGCCUGGACGCGGCCCCACGCAGCGGAGAUGCCUGCACCCCUCGCUGCACGUCUCCUUUCACCUGGACGGCCUCCUGCAGCAGGAAUCUCUGUCCCGGCCUCGGCGAUCCUGAAGGCGACUCAGCACAGAGCAGCCCGUGGGCCGAGCAGCCCUCGCUCACUUGGAGCAAAGGUCCCCUCACAGCCCGCGGUCCCCACCCCCGGCCUCCCGCGGCCCAGACACGCGCACACCCGCCCACAGACCCCUCGCCAGAUCCCCUCCUUCAUGGGGCCGGUAUGUUCUCCAAAAGAAGCAGUUCUGGCCGGAACUUUCUGACACUAGGGCUAUACCCCCGGGUCACAGGUACUGAAAGUAACCCGUAUCUUGGCGCAACAAGCGUGGUCCGAACAGAGCUGGGAAGAGGAUCGGGUGUGACUUAGGAGGGACACCCCCUCUCCAGGGGUCAAGGUACCCCAGGACAUCACCUGAAAGGGUGUGACGGUGCCCCGCUGGGCACCGGUGGUGGUGGCCGGUGUUCUCGGGGUGAGAAAGGGACAGGAGGGGCCACACGGAGGACGGGAGCUGUUUGCUGCCUUUCCCCGGAGGUGGGCGGGCUGCCUCAGCAAGCACAGACCUUCCAGCUCAGACGCUCAGACCUGCCCUCUCCCAGAGCCCCGGGCAGGGGCAGAAUCCACGUGCCCAGAGAAUGCCAGCCCAACAGAGUGUGUUUCCCAUUUAAAAUAAAUGUCUUUGGG